GCCUGACUGGCUCAGUCAGUAGAGCGUGAGACUCCUAAUCUCAAGGUUGUGAGUUCAAGCCCCAUGUUGGGUU